rnacentral:tRNA from 1 species
AUUUAAAUAGUUUAAGUGCUAGAAUAAUAAUUUGUGGUGUUAUUGGUGAAAUUAAUUUUCUUUGAAUC